rnacentral:lncRNA from 1 species
GAAAAAGGUAAAAGAAAACGAAUAAGGAAAUGAAAAUCCAAUAAGGAAAUAGAAGCUGAAUAAGGAAAUAGAAACCGAAUAAGGAAAUGAAUAUUGAAAAAGGAAAAAGAAACUGAAUAAGGAAAUAGAAACCGAAUAAGGAAAUAGAAACCGAAUAAGGAAACAGAAACCGAAAAAGGAAAAAGGAACCGAAUAAGGAAAAAGAAACCGAAUAAGGAAAUGGAAAUUGAAUAAGGAAAUGAAAAUCCAAUAAGGAAAUAGAAACCGAAUAAGGAAAUAGAAACCGAAAAAGGUAAUGAAUAUUUAAAAAGGAAAAAGAAACCAAAUAAGGAAAAAGGAACCGAAUAAGGAAAAAGAAACCGAAUAAGGAAAUGGAAAUUGAAUAAGGAAAUGAAAAUCCAAUAAGGAAAUAGAAACCGAAUAAGGAACUAGAAACUGAAAAAGGAAAUGAAUAUUGAAAAAGGAAAGAAGAAACCGAAUAGGAAAUGAAAAUCGAAUAAGGAAAUGGAAAUCGAAUAAGGAAACGAAAAUCCAAUUAGGAAAUAGAAACCGAAUAAGGAAAUAGAAACCGAAUAAGGAAACAGAAACCGAAUAAGGAAAUGAAUAUUGAAAAGGAAAAAGAAACCGAAUAAGGAAAAAGAACCGAAUAAGGAAAAAGAAACGAAUAAGGAAAUGAAAUUGAAUAAAGGAAAUGAAAAUCCAUUAAGGAAAUAGAAACCGAAUAAGGAACUAGAAACUGAAAAAGGAAAUGAAUAUUGAAAAAGGAAAAAGAAACCGAAUUAGGAAAUGAAAAUCGAAUAAGGAAAUGGAAAUCGAAUAAGCAAAUGAAAAUCCAAUAAGGAAAUAGAAACCGAAUAAGGAAAUAGAAACCGAAAAAGGAAAUGAAUAUUGAAAAAGGAAAAAGAAACCGAAUAAGGAAAUGAAAAUCGAAUUAGGAAAUGGAAAUCGAAUAAGGAAAUAGACACCGAAUAAGGAAAUGAAAAUCGAAUAUGGAAAAAGAAACCGAAUAAGGAAAUGAAUAUUGAAAAAGGAAAAAGAAACUGAAUAAGGAAAUGAAAAUCGAAUAAGGAAAUGAAAAUCCAAUAAGGAAAUAGAAACCGAAAAGGAAAUAGAAACCGAAAAGGAAGAAGAAACUGAAUAAGGAAAAGAAAAUCGAAUAAGGAAAUGGAAACCGAAUAAGGAAAUGAAAAUCGAAAAAGGAAAUAGAAACCGAAUAAGGAAAUAGAAACCAAAAAAGGAAAUGAAUAUUGAAAAAGGAAAAAGAAACCGAAUAAGGAAAAAGAAACCGAAUAAGGAAAUGGAAAUUGAAUAAGGAAAUGAAAAUCCAAUAAGGAAAUAGAAACCGAAUAAGGAACUAGAAACCGAAAAAGGAAAUGAAUAUUGAAAAAGAAAAAAGAAACCGAAUUAGGAAAUGAAAAUCGAAUAAGGAAAUGGAAAUUGAAUAAGGAAACGAAAAUCCAAUUAGGAAAUAGAAACCGAAUAAGGAAAUAGAAACCGAAAAAGGAAAUGAAUAUUGAAAAAGGAAAAAGAAACCGAAUAAUGAAAUGAAAAUUGAAUAAGGAAAUGGAAAUCGUAAAAGGAAAU